GUGCCAGCAGCCGCGGUAAGACGGAGGAUGCAAGCGUUAUCCGGAAUGAUUGGGCGUAAAGCGUCCGCAGGUGGCAGUUCAAGUCUGCUGUCAAAGACCGGGGCUUAACUUCGGAAAGGCAGUGGAAACUGAACAGCUAGAGUAUGGUAGGGGCAGAGGGAAUUCCUGGUGUAGCGGUGAAAUGCGUAGAGAUCAGGAAGAACAUCGGUGGCGAAGGCGCUCUGCUGGACCAUAACUGACACUCAGGGACGAAAGCUAGGGGAGCGAAUGGGAUUAGAUACCCGCGUAGUCC
rnacentral:rRNA from 1 species